UACGUAGGGGGCAAGCGUUGUCCGGAAUCAUUGGGCGUAAAGAGCGUGUAGGCGGCCCGGUAAGUCCGUUGUGAAAGUCGAGGGCUCAACCCUCGAAUGCCGGCGGAUACUGCCGGGCUAGAAUCCGGAAGAGGCGAGUGGAAUUCCUGGUGUAGCGGUGAAAUGCGCAGAUAUCAGGAGGAACACCAAUGGCGAAGGCAGCUCGCUGGGACGGUAUUGACGCUGAGACGCGAAAGCGUGGGGAGCAAACAGG
rnacentral:rRNA from 1 species